GAUGAACGCUGGCGGCGUGCCUAAUACAUGCAAGUCGAGCGAACGGACGAGAAGCUUGCUUCUCUGAUGUUAGCGGCGGACGGGUGAGUAACACGUGGAUAACCUACCUAUAAGACUGGGAUAACUUCGGGAAACCGGAGCUAAUACCGGAUAAUAUUUUGAACCGCAUGGUUCAAAAGUGAAAGACGGUCUUGCUGUCACUUAUAGAUGGAUCCGCGCUGCAUUAGCUAGUUGGUAAGGUAACGGCUUACCAAGGCAACGAUGCAUAGCCGACCUGAGAGGGUGAUCGGCCACACUGGAACUGAGACACGGUCCAGACUCCUACGGGAGGCAGCAGUAGGGAAUCUUCCGCAAUGGGCGAAAGCCUGACGGAGCAACGCCGCGUGAGUGAUGAAGGUCUUCGGAUCGUAAAACUCUGUUAUUAGGGAAGAACAUAUAUGUAAGUAACUGUGCACAUCUUGACGGUACCUAAUCAGAAAGCCACGGCUAACUACGUGCCAGCAGCCGCGGUAAUACGUAGGUGGCAAGCGUUAUCCGGAAUUAUUGAGCGUAAAGCGCGCGUAGGCGGUUUUUUAAGUCUGAUGUGAAAGCCCACGGCUCAACCGUGGAGGGUCAUUGGAAACUGGAAAACUUGAGUGCAGAAGAGGAAAGUGGAAUUCCAUGUGUAGCGGUGAAAUGCGCAGAGAUAUGGAGGAACACCAGUGGCGAAGGCGACUUUCUGGUCUGUAACUGACGCUGAUGUGCGAAAGCGUGGGGAUCGAACAGGAUUAGAUACCCUGGUAGUCCACGCCGUAAACGAUGAGUGCUAAGUGUUAGGGGGUUUCCGCCCCUUAGUGCUGCAGCUAACGCAUUAAGCACUCCGCCUGGGGAGUACGACCGCAAGGUUGAAACUCAAAGGAAUUGACGGGGACCCGCACAAGCGGUGGAGCAUGUGGUUUAAUUCGAAGCAACGCGAAGAACCUUACCAAAUCUUGACAUCCUUUGACAACUCUAGAGAUAGAGCUUUCCCCUUCGGGGGACAAAGUGACAGGUGGUGCAUGGUUGUCGUCAGCUCGUGUCGUGAGAUGUUGGGUUAAGUCCCGCAACGAGCGCAACCCUUAAGCUUAGUUGCCAUCAUUAAGUUGGGCACUCUAAGUUGACUGCCGGUGACAAACCGGAGGAAGGUGGGGAUGACGUCAAAUCAUCAUGCCCCUUAUGAUUUGGGCUACACACGUGCUACAAUGGACAAUACAAAGGGCAGCGAAACCGCGAGGUCAAGCAAAUCCCAUAAAGUUGUUCUCAGUUCGGAUUGUAGUCUGCAACUCGACUACAUGAAGCUGGAAUCGCUAGUAAUCGUAGAUCAGCAUGCUACGGUGAAUACGUUCCCGGGUCU
rnacentral:rRNA from 1 species